CAGCCGCCGCGGUAAAACGGAGGGUGCAAGCGUUAAUCGGAAUUACUGGGCGUAAAGCGCACGCAGGCGGUCUGUCAAGUCAGAUGUGAAAUCCCCGGGCUUAACCUGGGAACUGCAUUUGAAACUGGCAGGCUAGAGUCUUGUAGAGGGGGGUAGAAUUCCAGGUGUAGCGGUGAAAUGCGUAGAGAUCUGGAGGAAUACCGGUGGCGAAGGCGGCCCCCUGGACAAAGACUGAUGCUCAGGUGCGAAAGCGUGGGGAGCAAACAGGAUUAGAUACCCCGGUAGUCCCUGUCUCUUAUAC
rnacentral:rRNA from 1 species